rnacentral:rRNA from 1 species
CACGUAGGGCGCAAGCGUUGUCCGGAAUUAUUGGGCGUAAAGAGCUCGUAGGCGGUCUGUUGCGUCCGCUGUGAAAACUCGGGGCUUAACCCCGAGCCUGCAGUGGAUACGGGCAGACUAGAGGUAGGUAGGGGAGAAUGGAAUUCCCGGUGUAGCGGUGAAAUGUGUAGAGAUCGGGAGGAACACCGGUGGCGAAGGCGGGUCUCUGGGCAAUUCCUGACGCUGAGGCGCGAAAGCGUGGGGAGCAAACGGG